rnacentral:rRNA from 1 species
CAGCCGCCGCGGGAAUACGUAGGGUGCAAGCGUUAAUCGGAAUUACUGGGCGUAAAGCGCACGCAGGCGGUCUGUCAAGUCAGAUGUGAAAUCCCCGGGCUCAACCUGGGAACUGCAUUUGUGACUGGCAAGCUAGAGUGUGGCAGAGGGGGGUGGAAUUCCGCGUGUAGCAGUGAAAUGCGUAGAUAUGCGGAGGAACACCGAUGGCGAAGGCAGCCCCCUGGGCCAACACUGACGCUCAUGCACGAAAGCGUGGGGAGCAAACAGGAUUAGAUACCCCAGUAGUCCCUGUCUCUUAUAC